AUGGGAACGCGAAGAACCUUACCUAGACUCGACAUCUUCUGCAUUAAUCGUAAUGGAUGAAAUCCCUUCGGGGACAGAAUGACAGGUGGUGCAUGGUUGUCGUCAGCUCGUGUCGUGAGAUGUUGGGUUAAGUCCCGCAACGAGCGCAACCCCUAUUAUUAGUUGCUAACAUUAAGUUGAGCACUCUAGUGAGACUGCCCGGGGUUAACCGGGAGGAAGGUGGGGAUGACGUCAAAUCAUCAUGCCCCUUAUGUCUAGGGCUACACACGUGCUACAAUGGUGGGAACAAAGAGAUGCAAGACCGCGAGGUGGAGCUAAACUCAAAACCCCAUCCCAGUUCGGAUUGUAGGCUGAAACUCGCCUACAUGAAGCUGGAGUUGCUAGUAAUCGCGAAUCAGAAUGUCGCGGUGAAUACGUUCCCGGGUCUUGUACACACCG
rnacentral:rRNA from 1 species